CUGUCAGUCUUUUACUUUCUCAGUUUGAACCUGCGGAAAGACUUAAAGGUCUAAAACGUAAUGCACUAACCAAUUCUCAUUCCAAUAUACUUGAGUUUGCUGUCUUGAAGAGUUGGCUAUCUGCUUUUUAUCGUGCUAAGUAUGGACACCCUUUGGCUUCAUAUUGUGAACCCCUUCUAGUUGAAGGCCUCGAGGACAAGAAGGAAGAUCAAGUCAUUGAUGCAAAUGACUUCAGCAUACCCAUUGAGGUUCCCAUUCAGGGUCCAUCAGAAGAAAUUCCUAAUUCUGGAUCUUCAAAGUUUCCUAUGACUGCCUGCGACAAGAUUUAUCAGAAGAGGAAGCAGAAAAGUGUGGCUGAACUUAUGGGAGAGAACGCCAAGCCCAAAGGUAAGAAGACAACUGAAGACGAUUCUACACCUUCGUCUGUAGAAACAUCUGAGAAGAAAAGGAAGAAGUCUGGUGAGAAAGCUAAAGGUCAAACUGGCAGCUCGAUGAGUGUUGAUGAAAAAAUUGGUAAGAGGG
rnacentral:misc_RNA from 1 species